rnacentral:rRNA from 1 species
UACGGAGGAUGCGAGCGUUAUCCGGAUUUAUUGGGUUUAAAGGGUGCGUAGGCGGGCAUUUAAGCCGGCGGUGAAAUCGCGGGGCUCAACCCCGCCGAGCCGUCGGAACUGGGGGCCUUGAGUGCGGCGGAGGCAUGCGGAAUGCGCGGUGUAGCGGUGAAAUGCAUAGAUAUCACGCAGAACUCCGAUUGCGAAGGCAGCAUACCGGCGCUCAACUGACGCUCAUGCACGAAAGCGUGGGUAUCGAACAGG